GUUCCCCAGUCUCUCUGGAGUUUAACAACAAAUACCAAUUAACAAGAACAUGGCAAAACCUUCUUCUCCCCUUCCUGCUGAAAUUUUUUUCCAAAAGGGAAAAAAAAUUAAAUGGAAGUGCUAGCAUAUUCUAUGAAGGCCACUUCUACAGGGGAAAAUGAAGUUUAUUCACGGAAUUUUAUUGUUGAAAAAUAGCUACUAAGCCUGCUAGCGGAAAUGUGUUUAUGUGGAAAGCUGCACUUUGAAGAAGGCUGCCUUUUGGUAAAAUGCGUUCCUGGUUUACGGUUGUGAUGGAGGCAUACGAAGUGACACCAUCCAUAAAGUCAUCUGGAACCAUCUUCUUGCCAUCAAAGUUACUGGUGUCUUUCUAAUUCAUCUACUCUCCGGCACUCAUGCCUGAACUACCUUUCUUCUAAUCUCAAAGCAUUCAUUUGCUAGGCACCAAAUAAACAUACCACCUUCUGCAGAGACAGUUCACACCCACAUUUCCACACCACUCUUCAAAACUCUCCAUUUAUACACCAAGAUCAAGGCACUGGGCAAAAGAAGGAUGUGGAUGACACUUCUGAUACAGCUCCCUACUCUGGCAUUCAGAAAACUUGUCAGCACUCUGACAAAUGUCAGCAGUAGAGAGUUGCAAGGAACCCCAAACAUCAUCUAGCUCAAUGCCUCACCUAGUGCUGGAGUAAUUCUAAAAAAUUACUAAUUCAGGCCAGCCCAUGGGUAUCACUAAGGGGGUAGGCAAGAGAGUGCCAGGAUGUAUGCAAAAUUACAGGAUAAGCCUGAAGCUUCUUCCUGGACCAAUAAUUUUCUAGAUUGGGAGACAAAGUUAAAUAAUUCACCUACUGAAUAAAUAUCACUUUUAUAUUUAAACCACUUCUGAUAUAGUUUAUCACAUAGAAUACCCAACUCAGACUAAUGUUUAAAGAUAAACAGGAGACUGGGGUACAGGUUACUGCUCAGGGAGUAUUUCCUUGAAGAAGUGAUAUUUGAAUUGUGGCCUGAUGAGUAAGAUUCAGUUAGCAAGGGGAAGAGAAUGGAAUGAAGGGAGGUAUGUGUUGUGUCCUUGGCAGGGAGAAUAACAUGUGUAAGAGUUCUAGGAUGGGGAAAAAUGCAGGAUUUAAAGAGGUGGAGGCCUGAGUGCCCUAGGCCCACACUCCACAGUGAGAAUGUUCUAUUAUCCCAAGAUCUCUUGCAGCCCCUCCUAGGAGUCCUUUUUGCUCACAUCCUGCCAAAACGCUGAAAAUCCUGGGGGAGAAGGUCCAACAGCCUGGAACUGAGAUGUUCACAGCUGCUCCAGCAUCACCCCCAAAUUCCUUAGCUAAGACCAGGAAGCCAGGAACACAUAGUUAUCAUUGCUUAAGGAUUUUUAACACAUUUGCUAAAACCAUCCACUCAUUUAGAUUAGAAACUGCUUGGUAUAAAAGUAAACUAGUCAGGGGGAUCUCUGGGUGGCUCAGCGGUUUGGCGCCUGCCUUUGGCCCAGGGGGCGAUCCUGGAGUCCUGGGAUUGAGUCCUGUGUCGGGCUCCCAGCAUGGAG